GACGAACGCUGGCGGCGCGCCUAACACAUGCAAGUCGAACGAGAGAUGAAGAGCUUGCUCUUCAAAUCGAGUGGCGAACGGGUGAGUAACGCGUGAGGAACCUGCCUCAAAGAGGGGGACAACAGUUGGAAACGACUGCUAAUACCGCAUAAGCCCACGGCUCGGCAUCGAGCAGAGGGAAAAGGAGCAAUCCGCUUUGAGAUGGCCUCGCGUCCGAUUAGCUAGUUGGUGAGGUAACGGCCCACCAAGGCGACGAUCGGUAGCCGGACUGAGAGGUUGAACGGCCACAUUGGGACUGAGACACGGCCCAGACUCCUACGGGAGGCAGCAGUGGGGAAUAUUGCACAAUGGGGGAAACCCUGAUGCAGCGACGCCGCGUGGAGGAAGAAGGUCUUCGGAUUGUAAACUCCUGUUGUUGAGGAAGAUAAUGACGGUACUCAACAAGGAAGUGACGGCUAACUACGUGCCAGCAGCCGCGGUAAAACGUAGGUCACAAGCGUUGUCCGGAAUUACUGGGUGUAAAGGGAGCGCAGGCGGGAGAACAAGUUGGAAGUGAAAUCCAUGGGCUCAACCCAUGAACUGCUUUCAAAACUGUUUUUCUUGAGUAGUGCAGAGGUAGGCGGAAUUCCCCGGUGUAGCGGUGGAAUGCGUAGAUAUCGGGAGGAACACCAGUGGCGAAGGCGGCCUACUGGGCACCAACUGACGCUGAGGCUCGAAAGUGUGGGUAGCAAACAGGAUUAGAUACCCUGGUAGUCCACACCGUAAACGAUGAUUACUAGGUGUUGGAGGAUUGACCCCUUCAGUGCCGCAGUUAACACAAUAAGUAAUCCACCUGGGGAGUACGACCGCAAGGUUGAAACUCAAAGGAAUUGACGGGGGCCCGCACAAGCAGUGGAGUAUGUGGUUUAAUUCGACGCAACGCGAAGAACCUUACCAAGUCUUGACAUCCCUUGACGAACAUAGAAAUAUGUUUUCUCUUCGGAGCAAGGAGACAGGUGGUGCAUGGUUGUCGUCAGCUCGUGUCGUGAGAUGUUGGGUUAAGUCCCGCAACGAGCGCAACCCUUAUGGUCAGUUACUACGCAAGAGGACUCUGGCCAGACUGCCGUUGACAAAACGGAGGAAGGUGGGGAUGACGUCAAAUCAUCAUGCCCUUUAUGACUUGGGCUACACACGUACUACAAUGGCGUUAAACAAAGAGAAGCAAGACCGCGAGGUGGAGCAAAACUCAGAAACAACGUCCCAGUUCGGACUGCAGGCUGCAACUCGCCUGCACGAAGUCGGAAUUGCUAGUAAUCGUGGAUCAGCAUGCCACGGUGAAUACGUUCCCGGGCCU
rnacentral:rRNA from 1 species